AGGCGCCAGCCCGGCAAGGCAGGGCGCCAGUCAUUUCCGUUGCCGGCCGGUCGUCCUGGAUCGGGCCGGCGCUGGCUCGGCCCCGGCAUCGUCUUC
rnacentral:tRNA from 1 species